UUAAUUUUAAGAUGGCAGAUCAAGAGUCUUGCUUCUUCCCUGAUCUUUCCUCCAUUUCUCCCAAUUUUACCCUCAAUUCAUUGUCAGUCGCCCACAAAUAAGUCUUGAGCCGAUCAAAAAUGCUUAGAUGAUUCAAACCGUCAGCGCAAUUACUAAUUCAAUCAAUUAGGUUUCAUGUGGUCAUUGCCCUAUUCAAUGGUAUUGAAGGUGAUUGAAUGUUGCAGUUGAGGCGUUCGUGCGUUUCUAUCCUACCCAACCAAGCUUCCUGCGAAUUUUAGGUUAUAACAGGCAUUGAAGAUGAUUGAAUUUUUCAUGCGUCAAGCGCUGAUUACGCUCUUCUUCUACCAACGCUGAAAAUGGUGAAACAGGUCAUUGAGUAAUUGAAGACGAUCACGUGGUGAACACAGAGAAUAGCAUGAUUGCACAAUAUCGUAUCGUACCGGUUCCGUAGGAACUAGGAAGCAACCAUUUUGAAGGGUAAGUCAACCAUCUACUUCUAAUCAGAUUGCAAAAAUGGCUUGUAUGGAAUUGGGAUCCAAAGCAGAUGCGUUUCAGAAAAAAGGCCAAGCUUGGUAUGUUCUUUAAUCUCUGGUAAACUUGUUAUGCGUUCUGGUCUGUUGAGUACAUAUUGAUAUAACUAAUUGUAUAUGUGUAUGUGUGUGUAAUGUGCAUAUGCAACAUGAUGGAGUAUGAUGCUGUGACUUUUGUGGUUAUGAAUUUCUUGAUGAUAUGUGGAUUUUAGCUGGUUAUCUUUAUCCAAUAUAGUUUCAUUUGCUUUCAAGAAGUGGGGUUAUGGAAAAAAUGAUAGCAGAUGCAUCUGAGAAAACAGAAUUGGGAUGCAACUUGAUCAGGCAACCCUUGAAGAUUUAUUAAUGCCGAAUUUUUCUUAUUCGAUGGAAACGUUGUAUAAUUUUGAAUGCGUGCUGAGGAUGGUUCAACAUUUUAUGGCUAUUGAUCAAGCAACAGGUGGUGCGUCUCCUUGUUCUAUCAAGGAUGAAUAGUUGUUGGGUUCACCAUUUCUGACACCUGUCACCAUGGUGGCUAAGCUAAUUGACAGUUACUUGGUGGAAGUUGCACCCGAUGUUAAUUUAAAGCUUACAAAGUUCAUGGCUCUUGCUGAGGCUGUUCCCGAGUAAGCUAGACCGAUGGAUGAUGGCUUGUAUUGUAUCAACCAGUUCUAAUAUGUUUCCUCUUUCUUGUAAAACAUAUGCCAACACAGCAAACAAUCAUGUUACAGUUUUGACUUUUUGGGUCAAAGAAUGCUUGUAUUGUGUUGGCAUUUAUUUUAAAAGGUAUAAUACAGUUCACUGAAGGGGUGUUUGAAUGUGUGUUUUAGAAGUGAUUAUGUGAAUCCAAAACUCCCCAAAAAGUUAAAAUGUUUGUUAAAGCAAAAAAAGUCCUACUUACCAAA